AUUGAACGCUGGCGGCAUGCCUUACACAUGCAAGUCGAACGGCAGCACGGGAGCUUGCUCCUGGUGGCGUGUGGCGAACGGGUGAGUAAUACAUCGGAACGUGCCCAGUAGUGGGGGAUAGCCCGGCGAAAGCCGGAUUAAUACCGCAUACGACCUACGGGUGAAAGCGGGGGACCGUAAGGCCUCGCGCUAUUGGAUCGGCCGAUGUCUGAUCAGCUUGUUGGGGGGGUAAAAGCCCACCAAGGCGACGAUCAGUAGCUGGUCUGAGAGGACGAUCAGCCACACUGGGACUGAGACACGGCCCAGACUCCUACGGGAGGCAGCAGUGGGGAAUUUUGGACAAUGGGGGCAACCCUGAACCAGCAAUGCCGCGUGUGCGAAGAAGGCCUUCGGGUUGUAAAGCACUUUUGUCAGGGAAGAAAUCUUUCAGGCUAAUACCCUUGGAAGGAUGACGGUACCUGAAGAAUAAGCACCGGCUAACUACGUGCCAGCCGCCGCGGUAA
rnacentral:rRNA from 1 species